UACGUAGGGUGCAAGCGUUAAUCGGAAUUACUGGGCGUAAAGCGUGCGCAGGCGGUGAUGUAAGACAGUUGUGAAAUCCCCGGGCUCAACCUGGGAACUGCAUCUGUGACUGCAUCGCUGGAGUACGGUAGAGGGGGAUGGAAUUCCGCGUGUAGCAGUGAAAUGCGUAGAUAUCAGGAGGAAUACCGAUGGCGAAGGCAGGUCUCUGGGCUGACACUGACGCUCAUGCACGAAAGCGUGGGGAGCAAACAGG
rnacentral:rRNA from 1 species